GUCCUAGCCGUAAACGGUGAUCACUAGGUGUUGGGAGCAUCGACCCUUCCAGUGCCGCAGCUAACGCAUUAAGUGAUCCGCCUGGGGAGUACGGCCGCAAGGUUGAAACUCAAAGGAAUUGACGGGGGCCCGCACAAGCGGUGGAGCAUGUGGUUCAAUUCGACGCAACGCGAAGAACCUUACCCAGACUUGACAUGUACUGGACAGGUGUGGAAACACAUCCUUCCUUCGGGACCAGUGCACAGGUGCUGCAUGGCUGUCGU
rnacentral:rRNA from 1 species